CGGGUGAGUAAUGUAUGGGGAUCUGCCUGAUGGCGGGGGAUAACUACUGGAAACGGUAGCUAAUACCGCAUAAUGUCUGCGGACCAAAGCGGGGGGGACCGUCCGGGCCUCGCGCCAUCAGAUGAACCCAUAUGGGAUUAGCUUGUAGGUAAGGUAACGGCUUACCUAGGCGACGAUCCCUAGCUGGUCUGAGAGGAUGACCAGCCACACUGGAACUGAGACACGGUCCAG
rnacentral:rRNA from 1 species